rnacentral:rRNA from 1 species
UGGGGAAUUUUGGACAAUGGGCGAAAGCCUGAUCCAGCAAUGCCGCGUGUGUGAAGAAGGCCUUCGGGUUGUAAAGCACUUUUGUCCGGAAAGAAAUCCUUGGCUCUAAUACAGCCGGGGGAUGACGGUACCGGAAGAAUAAGCACCGGCUAACUACGUGCCAGCAGCCGCGGUAAUACGUAGGGUGCAAGCGUUAAUCGGAAUUACUGGGCGUAAAGCGUGCGCAGGCGGUUUGCUAAGACCGAUGUGAAAUCCCCGGGCUCAACCUGGGAACUGCAUUGGUGACUGGCAGGCUAGAGUAUGGCAGAGGGGGGUAGAAUUCCACGUGUAGCAGUGAAAUGCGUAGAGAUGUGGAGGAAUACCGAUGGCGAAGGCAGCCCCCUGGGCCAAUACUGACGCUCAUGCACGAAAGCGUGGGGAGCAAACAGGAUUAGACACCCUGGUAGUCCACGCCCUAAACGAUGUCAACUAGUUGUUGGGGAUUCAUUUCCUUAGUAACGUAGCUAACGCGUGAAGUUGACCGCCUGGGGAGUACGGUCGCAAGAUUAAAACUCAAAGGAAUUGACGGGGUCAUAGCUGUUUCCU